UGUGUACUCCCUCCGUUCCAAAAUACUUGACUUCCAUUUGUCCAAAAAUGGAUGUACCUAUAUACUAAAUCAUGUCUAGAUACAUAUAUAUUCUGACAAAUAGAAGGCAUGUAUUGUGCAAUGGAGGGAGUAGAAU
rnacentral:pre_miRNA from 1 species